UACGUAGGGUGCGAGCGUUAAUCGGAAUUACUGGGCGUAAAGCGUGCGCAGGCGGUUCGCUGUGUCCGAUGUGAAAGCCCCGGGCUCAACCUGGGAAUGGCAUGGGAAACUGGCGGGCUGGAGUGUGGCAGAGGGGGGUGGAAUUCCGCGUGUAGCAGUGAAAUGCGUAGAGAUGCGGAGGAACACCGAUGGCGAAGGCAGCCCCCUGGGCCAACACUGACGCUCAGGCACGAAAGCGUGGGGAGCAAAC
rnacentral:rRNA from 1 species